UACGUAGGGUGCAAGCGUUGUCCGGAAUUAUUGGGCGUAAAGAGCUCGUAGGCGGUUAGUCGCGUCUGCUGUGAAAACUCGGGGCUUAACUCCGGGCCUGCAGUGGGUACGGGCUGACUAGAGUGCGGUAGGGGAGACUGGAAUUCCUGGUGUAGCGGUGAAAUGCGCAGAUAUCAGGAGGAACACCGGUGGCGAAGGCGGCAUCCUGGACCGACACUGACACUGAGGAGCGAAAGCCAGGGGAGCAAACGGG
rnacentral:rRNA from 1 species